CAAUAGCGUAUAUUAAAGUUGUUGCGGUUAAAAAGCUCGUAGUUGGAUUUCUGCCGAGGACGACCGGUCCGCCCUCUGGGUGUGUAUCUGGUUUGGCCUGGGCAUCUUCUUGGAGAACGUAGCUGCACUUGACUGUGUGGUGCGGUGUCCAGGACUUUUACUUUGAGGAAAUUAGAGUGUUUCAAGCAGGCACACGCCUUGAAUACAUUAGCAUGGAAUAAUAAGAUAGGACCUCGGUUCUAUUUUGUUGGUUUCUAGAGCUGAGGUAAUGAUUAAUAGGGAUAGUUGGGGGCAUUCGUAUUUAACUGUCAGAGGUGAAAUACUUGGAUUUGUUAAAGACGGACUACUGCGAAAGCAUUUGCCAAGGAUGUUUUCAUUGA
rnacentral:rRNA from 1 species